rnacentral:rRNA from 1 species
AUUGAACGCUGGCGGCAGGCUUAACACAUGCAAGUCGAGCGGGGAAGAGUAGCUUGCUACUUGACCUAGCGGCGGACGGGUGAGUAAUGCUUAGGAAUCUGCCUAUUAGUGGGGGACAACAUCUCGAAAGGGAUGCUAAUACCGCAUACGUCCUACGGGAGAAAGCAGGGGACCUUCGGGCCUUGCGCUAAUAGAUGAGCCUAAGUCGGAUUAGCUAGUUGGUGGGGUAAAGGCCUACCAAGGCGACGAUCUGUAGCGGGUCUGAGAGGAUGAUCCGCCACACUGGGAGUGAGACACGGCCCAGACUCCUUCGGGAGGCAGCAGUGGGGAAUAUUGGACAAUGGGGGGAACCCUGAUCCAGCCAUGCCGCGUGUGUGAAGAAGGCCUUUUGGUUGUAAAGCACUUUAAGCGAGGAGGAGGCUACCGAGAUUAAUACUCUUGGAUAGUGGACGUUACUCGCAGAAUAAGCACCGGCUAACUCUGUG